AAAGCUUCUACAUGAAUUAGGUAAUAGAAUAGAAUAAAGAAGAAAUUUGGAUGGAUGGCAAAUUCCUGAGUUGCCACUCCAAGAUAUGCGUCUUCUUUACUUAAUCAACAUACCAUACAACAGAUGAGAUGCUUUACCCCUACGUUUCUGUGGCUUUCCAUCUAUCUUAUCUAUCUAUUUCAAUCUUGACACAAUUUUAGACAUCCAAAUGCUUAGCUUAAAGAAAAAACAGCCUCCGUAGUCACAUGAGCCAGGAAGAACUGCCCCAAUGACUGCUUUAAUACAGGAAUUUUGGUCGGUCAGUGAGUACCACCUUUGGAGCUCGUUCUCCCAUUGCUAAAUUCCAUGUUUGUAUUAACCACAGAAAUGUAUGAACUCUCUCAUCUGCAAUCACUGCACAACCAAGUACAGUAGGUUGAAUAUGAUGGUGAACAAAACUGUCCCAUCUAAAUGGAGGGAGGGAGGUCUUUUACUUUUAGGUUAAAACAUAUUUAAUCUCUCAACUUUGUUGUUUAUUGGGUCAUAAUUAAUAAAUAAUAUGUAUGUUAAUCCAUAUUAUUAAUCAAACUAUUUAUAUUUUGAC